rnacentral:rRNA from 1 species
AUUGAACGCUGGCGGCAUGCCUAACACAUGCAAGUCGAACGGCAGCGCGUUUGGGGUAACCCAAAUGGCGGCGAGUGGCGGACGGGUGAGUAAUAUGUAGGAAUCUGCCCAGAGAUAAGGGAUAACUUAGGGAAACUUAAGCUAAUACCAUAUAAGCCCGAGAGGGGAAAGCAGGGGACCGUAUGGCCUUGCGUCUUUGGAUGAGCCUACAUCGGAUUAGCUUGUUGGUGAGGUAAAGGCUCACCAAGGCGACGAUCCGUAGCUGGUCUGAGAGGAUGACCAGCCACACUGGGACUGAGACACGGCCCAGACUCCUACGGGAGGCAGCAGUGGGGAAUAUUGGACAAUGGGGGAAACCCUGAUCCAGCAAUGCCGCGUGUGUGAAGAAGGCCUUCGGGUUGUAAGGCACUUUCAGUUGGGAGGAAGGGGUGAGCACUAAUACUGUUCAUCAUUGACGUUACCGACAGAAGAAGCACCGGCUAACUCUGUGCCAGCCGCCGCCGUAA